UGAAUGCACUAACUGUAAGUCGCUCUGGAUAAGAGUGUCUGCUACAUGACAAAAA
rfam:Salmo salar isolate Sally breed double haploid chromosome ssa21, whole genome shotgun sequence.